CCCUAUGGGGUGCACCAGGCUAUGUCGGCUAUGACGAAGGGGGCCAUCUGACCGAAGCCGUUCGUCGCCGGCCCUAUGCGGUCAUCCUCUUCGACGAGAUCGAGAAGGCCCAUCCGGACGUCUUCAACAUCCUGUUGCAGAUCCUGGACGACGGUCGGCUCACGGACGGCCAUGGCCGCACCGUGGAUUUCAAGAACACGAUCGCGAUCAUGACCUCCAAUGUCGGGAGCCAGUGGAUCCAGGAUCCCUCGCUCGCCGAAGACCGACGGCGGGAGC
rnacentral:rRNA from 1 species